AUGUGCUCAGCUCAAGCUGAAAGCAUCUAUUUGGCUUUCAAAUUUUAAAACAAUUUUUUAUUUAAAAAAAUAUCACCAAAAUUUUUAAACCUUUUAUGAUUAUGCUAACGUUUUAAAUUAGCUAAUCACGCAGUCUCGGCGCUCAACACGCAUAUUUUUCGGCUUCAAAAUUAAAUGGAAAAAUUAUAAAGUGAAUAACUAUUGUUUUUAUUUGGGCUUUAAUCGAUUUCUUAAAAGAAAUGUCUGAAAAUAAUGAACAAAAUUCGUCUGGUGCUAAACGACUUGGAUCUAUUGCCAGUCAUUGCAGAACUCUGCUUGAGGAACUUGUCGUUUUCGUAUUAUUCUUCUCGCUCUCUGUGCUGUUCAUGUUGAGUUUGUUCUCUCUGCUGACUGGCCUUGGCGUGCGAAAACCAUUCGCAUACAGAGCAGCGCUUCCCAGCAAGUCCUGUAGUUGGCCAACGGAAUGGUGCCGCUUUUUCAACGAAUCCAAAAUGUCGCAGAGACAAUUCAUAUUGGAAACCCUAGACGGUCAACAGUCUAUGCCAAAGUAAUGGUACAUUUUAGAUUAUUUUCAGAAGCACAUAACUGUAAAAAGUAUCGCAUCAAUACCUUGUUCAAUUUCACCUCACUUGUCAAUAAGCACACCAUCAUCAUUUGUUCCAUAUAAGAGGGCGUCACUUUUUAAAGUUCCGAACUGUCGGGUCGAUCCUGAGGAGUUUGAAGAUAAAAAAUAUAUUAAAUAUAUGCUAUAUUUGCCACCGAGUAAAUGUCUCUCGUCAAGAUUGAGACAUAGUCCCGGGUCGCUUUAAACAUAUUCUACAAAUACAAAAAUCCACAACAAAAACAAUUUAUCUAUGCAGAUGAGCAGCAAGCAAAUCUCAAAUGGCUAUAAUCACAACAUAAAUCAUUGACGCCCAAUUCAUUAAUAUUCGUUUCGGUGGCACAAAGUGCAUCCCGAUUCAUAUCCAUAGACGUCUUCCAAGUUGCAAUAUAUAAACCCCCUACACAAAUACAUUGUUAUGUGGCUACUUCUAUGGUUUAAAUAAAAGUUUAAUUCGAA